AGACGUCUUUCGGGAGUUCCUGGAAACGGAGUGGAGAAUGUUUUCCACUGCAGUGAGGAUACCUUUUCCUCCAGUGGUGUGGGUUUGACUUGGCAGCAGUUCAUCCAGCAACCAGUUUCUACAGCCUGGGAACAUCCUGCCUGCUUCACAGAGAAACCCAUCCCAGAUAAACAAUGGCAGUCCUGCAGAGGUCAUCACCACAGCCAGACAAGUGAGGUGUUGAGACGCUUCAGUCUUCUGUUCAUUUCCCUCAGGUGCUUAUCAACACAAUGGACCCCAAGCACAUACUGUUUGCAUCUCUCUCAUCAUCUCAUUCAUUCAUCUUUCUCUAAUCUCUCUUAUCCCUGCGGUGCUCAGGAAGAGAGGAAAGCCCACGGCCUUAUCUCUGUUUUUCUGUGUUUGUGGGGGACGAGACUGUUUCUCUAGUGUCUCUCUUCACUCUUCGUUUCAAAGUGUGUGCUCACAUCAGGCCCUCAUUUACUCUUCAAGAUUUCCACCGGUUGUGCAAUGUUUGAAUGUUCAGCCAUGGAAUGGUUAUUAUUCCUCUGUUCUUCAAAGCAUGCAGGCCUGUUGUUGAUGUAACUCCCUCCGGAACAAGGGCUGAGAGGACAGCAGGAGGAUGUUGUCAUUUUUGGAGGAGAUCAGGGGGGAAUAGCUUUUCAAGGAAAAGUGAGAUGGCGUCGGCAGCUGUGUGUCUGGCAGGGUGAAUGUUGGGACAUUUAAAAUACGUUUAGAAAUAGUUAAACAUCUGAACUUCCCUAUGAACUGAUAUAUCAUAUCUGCUGUGCAUAUGCAUGGGCACAAAUGCUUUAUUUAGACUUUCAAGGAAAAUGUGGAUGUGUUUAAAGACAUUGCACAGGGAGAGCUUAUUAUGGCUCAAAGUAACAGCGUCUUUUUCUGUACGGAAGGUUGUUUUGUUGUUUAGCACUUCUCUUUCCCUUCCUCACACAUACUAGAGUUUAACUGAAUGGAAUUAAAUAGUGGUGAACUGAAGUGAAUAUACCUGGACUGAACUACCAAACUGCUUUAAACUGAACCAAACUGACCUUAACUGAACUUAGUGAAGAUUAAUUAAACUAAACUUUUAAACUGAGUUGUGCUGAACUGUACCAAACUGAAUUAAACUUCUCAACUGAACUGAACUGUAUUGAACAGAAUUUGUCUGAACUGACUUGAAAUGUAUUGAACUGGACUAAACUGCUUAACUGAACAAAACUACUGAACUGAACUGAAUUAAAUCUAAAAUAUUAGACAGUAAUAAACAGAAAUGUAUUGAACUGAACUGAACCA
ensembl:lncRNA